rnacentral:misc_RNA from 1 species
AAGUCGUAACAAGGUUUCCGUAGGUGAACCUGCGGAAGGAUCAUUACAGAGUUCAUGCCCGAAAGGGUAGACCUCCCACCCUUGUGUAUUAUUACUUUGUUGCUUUGGCGAGCUGCCUUCGGGCCUUGUAUGCUCGCCAGAGAAAAUCAAAACUCUUUUUAUUAAUGUCGUCUGAGUACUAUAUAAUAGUUAAAACUUUCAACAACGGAUCUCUUGGUUCUG